rnacentral:rRNA from 1 species
GACGAACGCUGGCGGCGUGCUUAACACAUGCAAGUCGAACGGAAGGGCCCUGCUUUUGUGGGUUUCUCGAUUGGCGAACGGGGGAGUAACACGUGAGUAACCUGCCCUUGACUUUGUGAUAACUUCAGGAAACUGGGGCUAAUACCGGAUAUGAUCUCCUGCUGCAUGUUGUUGGUUGGAAAGUUUCGGCCGUUGUGUAUGUACUCGCUGCUUAUCAGCUUGUUGGUGGGGUAGUGGCUUACGAAGGCUUUGACGGGUAGCCGGCCUGGGAGGGUGACCGGGCACAUGGGGACUGAGAUAGGGACCAGAAUGCAACGGGAGGCAGCAGUGGGGAAUAUUGCAGAAUGGCGGGAAGCCUGAGGCAGCAACGUCGCGUGCGGGAUGCCGGCCUUCGGGUUGUAAACAGCUUUGGAAUGUGACGAAGAGUGAGUGACGGUAAUGGGUAAAGAAGCAACGGCUAACUACGUG